ACGUGAGCGACGACGAAGAGUAGUAGCUUAUGUGGUCACUUCAGAGAGCCGGUGGCUGGUGGAAACCGGUGUGACCCAUACGUGAAUGGACUUCCGAGCACUAUAGCUGAAAUAACAGUAGGCUGUAGCGGCAACUCCCCCGAUAGCAGGAGCAAAGUGAGCUAGUGCGCUAGCUAACAAAGGUGGUACCACGGGUAAUCUCGUCCUUUAU
rnacentral:ncRNA from 1 species